GAGAGAGGCUCGGUGUUUCUGCGCAGAGAGCCUUUUGACAGAUUGCAGAGUGUGAGUCUUCGUUCCGAUUGCUUCCAUCUACUAGCAAAACAUUUUUAUGGCAGAUCGUGAAUUCACCAUGAAGACAACCUUACUUAUUCUGUUCCUGAUCGUUUCAUGCGUUGCGAUUGAGUUUGCUUCCGCCGCUCCAAUGCCCGUGACCCAUGUUCCGUAUUUUAAAAAAGCAGCGAAGCGGUCCGCUCAGAGUUUGAGCAAGCCAGCACGGACAGUCUGCUACUACCAAAACGGUCGUACAGGUCCUUGCUGAAAACCCGCAGAACAAUGGUACAGAAGGAAAUUAAUUCAGUUCCCAUGUCAUCUAAAUUGUGCGAAGUUGGCUGAUUGCGGAAGAACAUCUGCUGCUUCACCUCUUCAAUAAAAGGAGUUUGGCAACCCAA